rnacentral:rRNA from 1 species
CAGGUCUUGACAUCCCACUGACCGGUUUAGAGAUAAGCCUUUCCCUUCGGGGACAGUGGUGACAGGUGGUGCAUGGUUGUCGUCAGCUCGUGUCGUGAGAUGUUGGGUUAAGUCCCGCAACGAGCGCAACCCUUGAUCUUAGUUGCCAGCAUUUAGUUGGGCACUCUAAGGUGACUGCCGGUGACAAACCGGAGGAAGGUGGGGAUGACGUCAAAUCAUCAUGCCCCUUAUGACCUGGGCUACACACGUGCUACAAUGGACGAUACAAAGGGCUGCAAACCCGCGAGGGGGAGCCAAUCCCAUAAAAUCGUUCUCAGUUCGGAUUGUAGGCUGCAACUCGCCUACAUGAAGCCGGAAUCGCUAGUAAUCGUGGAUCAGCAUGCCACGGUGAAUACGUUCCC